rnacentral:rRNA from 1 species
CGUGGGUAACCUGCCCAAGAGAUCGGGAUAACACCUGGAAACAGAUGCUAAUACCGGAUAACAACAGAUGAUGCCUAUCAACUGUUUAAAAGAUGGUUCUGCUAUCACUAUUGGAUGGACCUGCGGUGCAUUAGCUAGUUGGUAGGGUAACGGCCUACCAAGGCGAUGAUGCAUAGCCGAGUUGAGAGACUGAUCGGCCACAUUGGGACUGAGACACGGCCCAAACUCCUACGGGAGGCAGCAGGG